AACGAACGCUGGCGGCAUGCCUAACACAUGCAAGUCGAACGAGAUCUUCGGGUCUAGUGGCGCACGGGUGCGUAACGCGUGGGAAUCUGCCCUUUGGUUCGGAAUAACAGUUGGAAACGACUGCUAAUACCGGAUGAUGACGAAAGUCCAAAGAUUUAUCGCCAGAGGAUGAGCCCGCGUAGGAUUAGCUAGGUGGUGUGGUAAAGGCUCACCAAGGCGACGAUCCUUAGCUGGUCUGAGAGGAUGAUCAGCCACACUGGGACUGAGACACGGCCCAGACUACUCCGGGAGGCAGCAGUGGGGAAUAUUGGACAAUGGGCGAAAGGCUGAUCCAGCAAUGCCGCGUGAGUGAUGAAGGCCUUAGGGUUGUAAAGCUCUUUUACCCGGGAUGAUAAUGACAGUACCGGGAGAAUAAGCUCCGGCUAACUCCGUGCCAGCCGCCGCCGUAA
rnacentral:rRNA from 1 species